rnacentral:pre_miRNA from 14 species
UCAAGGGACACAUUUUCUGCUUUAACCUUGGAAAUCAAGGAUGGGUGAAGCCUGUUGGAAUAACUCUAGGCGACCCAUACUUGGUUUCAAGGGUCAGCAGGGAUUCUGCAGAGGAAUGAA